rnacentral:rRNA from 1 species
GAAUGAACGUUGGCGGCGUGGAUUAGGCAUGCAAGUCGAGCGCUCAUAGCAAUAUGGGAGCGGCGAACGGCGUAGGAAUUCAUAGGAACGUACCCUCAGGACGGGGAUAGCUACGGGAAACUGUAGGUAAUACCCGAUGAUCUCCGCGGAGCAAAGGUGUGAUUCCGCCUGAGGAGCGGCUUAUGCGAUAUUAGCUAGUUGGUGGGGUAAUGGCCUACCAAGGCAAAGAUGUCUAGGGGGUGUGAGAGCAUGGCCCCCACGACCGGAACUGAGAUACUGUCCGGACACCUACGGGUGGCUGCAGUCGAGAAUCUUCCGCAAUGGACGAAAGUCUGACGGAGCGACGCCGCGUGCGGGAUGAAGGCCCUUGGGUUGUAAACCGCUUUCGGAGGGGAUGAAAUCCUCGAGGGUUCUCCCUCGAGGUUGACAGAGCCUCAAAAGAAGCACGGGCUAAGUACGUGCCAGCAGCCGCGGUAACACGUACUGUGCGAACGUUAUCCGGAAUCACUGGGCUUAAAGGGUGCGUAGGCGGCGAUUCAAGUCAGAUGUGAAAUGCCUGAGCUCAACUGAGGCGUUGCGUUUGAAACUGAAUUGCUAGAGUAUUUCAGGAGUGUGCGGAACUGCCAGUGGAGCGGUGAAAUGUGUUGAUAUUGGCA